rnacentral:rRNA from 1 species
GAUGAACGCUGGCGGCGUGCCUAAUACAUGCAAGUCGAGCGAACAGACGAGAGUGCUUGCACUCUCUGACGUUAGCGGCGGACGGGUGAGUAACACGUGGGUAACCUACCUAUAAGACUGGGAUAACUUCGGGAAACCGGAGCUAUUACCGGAUAAUAUUUAGCUUCGCAUGAAGCAAUAGUGAAAGACGGUUCUGCUGUCACUUAUAGAUGGACCCGCGGUGUAUUAGCUAGUUGGUGAGGUAACGGCUCACCAAGGCAACGAUACAUAGCCGACCUGAGAGGGUGAUCGGCCACACUGGGACUGAGACACGGCCCAGACUCCUACGGGAGGCAGCAGUAGGGAAUCUUCCGCAAUGGACGAAAGUCUGACGGAGCAAUGCCGCGUGAGUGAAGAAGGUUUUCGGAUCGUAAAACUCUGUUGUAAGGGAAGAACAAGUACGUUAGUAACUGAACGUACCUUGACGGUACCUUACCAGAAAGCCACGGCUAACUACGUG